rnacentral:rRNA from 1 species
GUAGGAUGCAAGCGUUGUCCGGAAUUAUUGGGCGUAAAGAGUUCGUAGGCGGUUGCCUAAGUCUGAUGUUAAAUACUGGAGCUCAACUCCGGCAUGGCAUUGGAAACUGGGCGGCUAGAGUGUGGUAGAGGUCUCGGGAAUUCCAGGUGUAGCGGUGAAAUGCGUAGAUAUCUGGAGGAACACCGGUGGCGAAAGCGCGAGACUGGGCCAUAACUGACGCUGAGGAACGAAAGCCAGGGGAGCGAAAGGGAUUAGAUACCCCUGUAGUCCCGGCCGUAAACGAUGGAUACUAGGUGUAGGAGGAUUCGACCCCUUCUGUGCCGUAGCUAACGCGAUAAGUAUCCCGCCUGGGGAGUACGACCGCAAGGUUG